UUUCGCUCGCUCCUCCCCCGCCCCAGGCCCAGGAUCUAGCUUCUCGCGACCGGACUCUGGGAUCACCGCUCCUCCCCUCUCAAGGGCUCACAACAAAAGAAAGAAGAGAGGGAUUGGAGGGACAACCAGACCAGAGGAAAGAACCAAUAGACUUCCUUUCCUCUGCGCAUGCCUGUUGGGAAGGACCGGGGUCGAACGGGAGAUUAAAUCCACUUCUCCAUAGUUUAGUGGUGGCUGGGUCCGCCACUAAAAUAGAACCGCUUAGGAAAAGGAACGCAAAGAAAGGGCGGCCUGGGGCAGGGCUAAAAAGCUGCUGAUAAAAUCCGGAAAAAUGGAGCCAGCCUCUGGAGGCGAUGGCGCGGCUUUGGACAUGCGUAGUAGGCUUUCCACGGGUUCGGGUCCCGGGGUCGGAGGGUCGGGCAGCGAGUCCAAGGGACUCGCUUGCUCCAGUGUCAUGUCGUCCCUAGGGGACUGUGAGUUCCUGGUGCAGCGAGCCCGGGAACUGGUGCAACAAGACCUGUGGGCGGCCAAGGCCUGGCUCAUCACCGCGCGCAGCCUCUACCCGGCCGACUUCAAUAUCCAGUAUGAGAUGUAUAUCAUUGAACGGAAUGCAGAGCGGACAGCUUCAGCUGGAAGGCUGCUGUAUGACAUGUUUGUGAAUUUCCCAGACCAACCAGUGGUAUGGAGAGAAAUAAGUGUCAUCACUUCUGCAUUAAGGAAUGAUUCCCAGGAUAAACAAACUCAAUUUUUAAGAGGUCUAUUUGAAACACUUCCUGGUCGGGUACAAUGUGAGAUGUUACUAAAGGCCACAGAACAAUGCUUUAAUACAUUGGAGCGAGCAGAAAUGUUACUUCUGCUUUUGAGGCGUUUCCCUGAAACAGUUGUACAACAUGGGGUUGGCCUUGGGGAAACAUUGUUGGAAGCUGAAAAUAUUGAUGAACAAGAAUCCCCUGUCAACUGCUUUAGAAAAUUAUUUGUUUGUGAUGUCCUUCCUCUAAUAAUUAAUAACCCUGAUGUUAGAUUACCUGCCAGCCUAUUAUAUAAGUAUUUGAACAAAGCAGCUGAAUUUUAUAUUAAUUAUGUCACUAGGUCUACCCAGACAGAAAAUCAGCAUCAAGGAGCCCAGGAUACACCUGAUCUCAUGUCCCCGAGCAAGCGUAGCUCUCAGAAGUAUGUUAUAGAUGGUCUGACUGAAAAAUCAUCCCAGAUUGUAGACCCUUGGGAAAGAUUGUUUAAAAUUUUGUCUGUCAUAGGAAUGAGAUGCGAGUGGCAGAUGGAUAAAGGAAGACGAAACCUUGGUGAUAUUUUGCAUCGAAUGAAAGACCUCUGCAGAUACAUGAAUAAUUUUGACACUGAAACUCACACAAAGUAUAAAAAUCAAAUCGUGUACUCUACAAUGCUGGUCUUCUUUAAGAAUGCAUACCAGUAUGUCAGUAGCAUACAGCCAUCUCUCUUCCAAGGUCCUAAUACUCCCAGUCAAGUUCCAUUGGUUCUUCUUGAGGAUGUAUCAAAUGUGUAUGGUGAUGUAGAAAUAGAUCGUAACAAACACAUACAUAAAAAGAGGAAACUUGCAGAAGGAAGAGAAAAAACUAUGCAGAGUUCUGAUGAUGAAGAAUGUUCAGGGAAAGGAAGAAGCCGGCACAUUGUAGUUAAUAAAGCAGAGCUUGUCAAUUCGGUUGAAGUCCUGGAAAGCUUCAAAUUGGCACGUGAUAGCUGGGAGCUACUCUAUUCCCUGGAUUUCCUUGACAAGGAAUUUACAAGAAUAUGUUUAGCAUGGAAAACAGAUACCUGGCUUUGGCUACGUAUCUUUCUCACUGACAUGAUUAUCUAUCAGGGGCAGUAUAAAAAGGCAAUAGCCAGCCUACAUCACUUAGCCGCUCUUCAGGGAUCACAUCCUCAACAGCAGAUUACUGGACAAGGAACACUAGAACAUCAAAGAGCACUCAUCCAGUUAGCAACUUGUCACUUUGCUCUUGGGGAAUACAGAUUGACAUGUGAAAAAAUUCUGGAUCUUAUGUGCUACAUGGUACUUCCCAUUCAAGAUGGAGGAAAACCUCAUGAGGAGCCUUCUAAAGUAAAAUCCAAGUUUAGAAAAGGAUCAGAUUUGAAACUUCUGCCUUGUACUAAUAAGGCUAUUAUGCCUUAUUGCCUCCAUUUAAUGUUAGCCUGUUUUAAGUUAAGAGCUUUCACGGAUAACAGGGAUGAUAUGGCAUUGGGGCAUGUAAUCGUGUUGCUUCAGCAAGAGUGGCCACGUGGAGAAAACCUGUUUUUGAAAGCUGUCAAUAAAAUUUGUCAGCAAGGCAACUUUCAGUAUGAGAAUUUUUUCAACUAUGUUACAAAUAUAGACAUGCUGGAGGAAUUUGCCUAUUUGAGGACCCAGGAAGGUGGAAAAAUCCAUUUGGAAUUACUGCCCAAUCAAGGAAUGCUAAUCAAAUCAUCAAAACCUUAAAAGAACCACCCCUUGGCUUCAUCUAAUUGGACUCCGUUUUUUGAACCCUCAUGAUGAUACAGAUCAGAGGCGACACAUGUAUCAUCUCCCCACAUUAGAAUGAAGACACGGCUAGAUAUUGGAACUGAAAUCCAUUUCUGCUCCUGGGGUGUGUGUGAGCCACACCACUGCUGCUGCGGGCUUCUGGACUUCUUGGGGCACUCCCUAGGAAUGCCACCCCCAUGUGCAAGUUCCCUUUUCGGUCUACUGUGGAUCUAGGACCCAGGACUGGGGAGUGGGCAACAAAGCUGCUAUCUGGUACCUGUCCCUGUUUCCGUGGCCAUGUAAGGGUCGGGGGUAUCCUGAUAUGAGUGUGGGACCUCCUCUUGCUCUUGUACACAGCCUCUCCCUGGGAGCUGGAGUGCACACCCAUAACAUACUCUUGCCCUGACCUAGUCCCCAGUGUCGACAGAUCUCUCUCUCUCUCUCUCUCUCUCUCUCUCUCUUCUCUCUCUCUCUCUCUCUCUCUCUCUCUCUCUCCUCUCUCUCUCUCUCUCUCUUUUCUCUUUUCUCUCUCUCUCUCUCUCUCGUCUCCCCAUGCCAACCUGGGCUGAACAAAGGAGUCAUUGACUUUUUCUGGAUUUUCCCAUCAAGAUUCAGUCUAGUGCAUCUUCUAGGUCUGCUGAAGUUUUGUGAAUUGGAGCCUGGCUGCCCAGCUUCUUGAGAGUCUGCCAUCUUGACUCAACUGUAAAUGGCACCUACAUCAGAGAUGUAUAAAUGCUUAUUUCCUCCCCCAUUUCCCCUUCUUUCCCUAGGGGAAUUGGAAAUGGCUUAACAUCGAAGAUGAAACAUGAGCUGAUCUUAAGAUUG